rnacentral:rRNA from 1 species
CAGUCGCCGCGGUAAUACGUAGGGUGCGAGCGUUAAUCGGAAUUACUGGGCGUAAAGCGUGCGCAGGCGGUUAUAUAAGACAGAUGUGAAAUCCCCGGGCUCAACCUGGGACCUGCAUUUGUGACUGUAUAGCUAGUGUACGGUAGAGGGGGAUGGAAUUCCGCGUGUAGCAGUGAAAUGCGUAGAUAUGCGGAGGAACACCGAUGGCGAAGGCAAUCCCCUGGACCUGUACUGACGCUCAUGCACGAAAGCGUGGGGAGCAAACAGGAUUAGAGACCCCUGUAGUCCCUGUCUCUUAUAC